UCGGCAGUUCGUCAUUCAAUAGAAAAUAAAUAUAACAUCAACACAUUAUAUUACAGGGCUUCCUCGAAGCAAAGUGUGUACCUGAAUAAUUUACAUACAGCGGAUACAUUAAGUUCAUCAACCAAAAGACACGAGUUAUGUACCGAAUAUAUCACAAGGCCAAAAGGCACUAAACAUGUCUGAGUAUAAAUGUAUAAGACAUACAGUCAUCCAAAAUACAAACUAGGCCCUAAGCCUAACCAAAAUGUAGCCUAACAAGUGCUAACAUCUACUCUCCGGCAUAAUCUACGAAGUCCUCGCCAUCCACACGACCCACAGUCUCUCUUGGCUCUCCGUCAUCUAAGGUGGGGGAUAACCCGUUCAUUUAUCACAUACAAAGCAAGGGUCACCAUCUGGAAACAGGAAAUACAAAUACCAAAUACCAAAUAGAAAGCGGCUAAACACUUAUCAUUUUCCUCAACACACGCAUAGUAAAUAAAAUGCGCACAUAGCCUAAUGCAAACCUCUAAUGAAUGAGUGUGGCACCCCGUCACAGGAUCGCCACGAUAACACCCCGUCACAGGAUCGUUACAUGCAUGAAUUAUUUCCGGAAAUAUCCUCUCAUAAAGGAGAGUCGUAGGUCUCUAGCAACACCCCGUCACAGGAUCGUUGCCUCUACUAUCAUCAAUACAANNNNNNNNNNCGCGCAACCACGUACUAUGAGUGCAUGAGCAUACGAUACCCCUAUCUAUGCCAUUUCAACACAUUACAUAUAUUCCAAACCAAAUUAUAUGUAAGACCAAAAGCAACAUGUAUUCAUUACGAACUCUACUCGAGAAUACAUUCACAACGUACCAAGCACAAAAGCCCAAUCGAGCACAACAAGCAAGCAACCACAACAAGAAAGCAACCAAGCACAACAAGAAAGCAACCAAGCACAACAAGAAAGCAUACCCUAAUGCUAUCGACGGAAUUUAAAUACGGAAAUAAAAACGGUGCCCUUACCUCGACAAUGCUUCCAACCAAAAACCACAACGUUUCACACUAUCUAUCGUUUCGCGUUUCCUAAAAAUAACGAGCGGACAAUGAAUAAGUUUCUCCCAAAAUAUCUUAACGAA
rnacentral:lncRNA from 1 species